GAGUUUGAUCAUGGCUCAGGAUGAACGCCGGCGGUGUGCCUAGUACAUGCAAGUCGUACGCACUGGCCCAACUGAUUGAUGGUGCUUGCACCUGAUCGACGAUGGAUCACCAGUGAGUGGCGGACGGGUGAGUAACACGUAGGUAACCUGCCCUGUACAGGGGGAUAACAAUCAGAAAUGACUGCUAAUACCGCAUAAGACCACAGCACCGCAUGGUGCAGGGGUAAAAACUCCGGUGGUACAGGAUGGACCCGCGUCUGAUUAGCUGGUUGGUGAGGUAACGGCUCACCAAGGCGACGAUCAGUAGCCGGCUUGAGAGAGUGAACGGCCACAUUGGGACUGAGACACGGCCCAAACUCCUACGGGAGGCAGCAGUGGGGAAUAUUGCACAAUGGGGAAACCCUAAUGCAGCAACGCCGCAUGAGUGAAGAAGUAUUUCGGUAUGUAAAGCUCUAUCAGCAGGGAAGAAAGUGACGGUACCUGACUAAGAA
rnacentral:rRNA from 1 species